rnacentral:tRNA from 1 species
GGGCUGGUGGCGGAAUGGCAGACGCGACAGACUUAAAAUCUGUUGACCGCAAGGUCGUGGGGGUUCAAGUCCCCCCCUGCCCAC